UUUAGCUUCGGCUGGACAUAUACUUUAAUUGGAACGAUACAAAGAAAAUUAGCAUGGUCCCGCAGAAUCGUGAAACGUUCGUUUUUAUUGAUUUAUUUUUUU